rnacentral:rRNA from 1 species
UACGUAGGGUGCGAGCGUUAAUCGGAAUUACUGGGCGUAAAGCGUGCGCAGGCGGUUUUGUAAGACAGAUGUGAAAUCCCCGGGCUUAACCUGGGAACUGCAUUUGAAACUAUUAGGCUAGAGUACGGUAGAGGGAAGUGGAAUUUCCGGUGUAGCGGUGAAAUGCGUAGAUAUCGGAAGGAACAUCAGUGGCGAAGGCGACUUCCUGGACCGCAACUGACACUGAGGCACGAAAGCGUGGGGAGCAAACAGG